UACAGAGGUCUCAAGCGUUGUUCGGAUUCAUUGGGCGUAAAGGGUGCGUAGGUGGCGCGCUAAGUCAGGUGUGAAAUCUCGGGGCUUAACUCCGAAACUGCAUUUGAUACUGGCGUGCUUGAGGACUAGAGAGGAGACUGGAAUUCAUGGUGUAGCAGUGAAAUGCGUAGAGAUCAUGAGGAAGACCAGUGGCGAAGGCGGGUCUCUGGACAGUUCCUGACACUGAGGCACGAAGGCCAGGGGAGCAAACGGG
rnacentral:rRNA from 1 species